rnacentral:rRNA from 1 species
UACGGAGGGGGCUAGCGUUGUUCGGAAUUACUGGGCGUAAAGCGCGCGUAGGCGGACCUGCAAGUCGGGGGUGAAAGCCCGAGGCUCAACCUCGGAACUGCCUUCGAUACUGCGGGUCUCGAGUCCGGGAGAGGUGAGUGGAAUUCCUAGUGUAGAGGUGAAAUUCGUAGAUAUUAGGAAGAACACCAGUGGCGAAGGCGGCUCACUGGCCCGGUACUGGACGCUGAGGCGCGAAAGCGUGGGGAGCAAA